CUGGCCUCGGCUCGGAGGGUCUUCCCUACGCGGCUGCGAGGCGUGUCUCACUUUCGCAAGGCAUUCGCCUAUCUAUUCGGCUGGGUCUUAACCCAAUUAAAGUCCCAGAUUGCAAGAGAGCGAGACGUGGGAAGGAUAAUUGCAGAGGCAGGGCUGAGCAGAGGACAGGAGAGGACAAAAAAAAAAAGAGAGUUAGGUAUCCACUGUGCAAUGCCCGCCUCUUACUCAGCAUUUUCCGUCGGUAGAUUAUAAAGCAGGUCCAUAUGUAUUUUCAUUUUACAAAGAGGGGGGAUUGAGGCCAAAGAGAUUUGCUCAAAAUCAAGUAAAAUACAGUGGUGGAACUGGUCUCUUGAGUACUAGUUCAAUGCUCUGUUCCCUUGGCCAGUCAGUCUCCCUGAGGCUCGCUGGCAGUUUGAGCGAUACAGAUAAAAAAUGAAGUCUGGCCACCAGAUAAGAUCACCCUUUGACACAGUGUGCAGAGAGGGGAGUUAGGGAUACAGCCCUGAGAGAUGGAAGUGGAGGUCAGGCAGGAAAAAUAAGAACAACAAAUGGAGAGAGAGGCCGGCCGUGAGCAAUCAAUGAGAGAGACUGGAACUGUGAAAAGUGCCAGAAGCCCAAGGGGAAGGAAGAGUGGUGGAUAACUGUGUCAAGGGUAACAAAGGUCAAAGCAGAAUAAAAACAUAGGACAUGGCAGAAAGAAGAGACUAAAAGCCAGGUGGCACUGAAUCAAUUACGGUGUUGGAAGCAGGGAAGUGAUAUCUAAGAUGAGAAAUGACUGCAUAAUUUUGAAGGCAAAAAGGAAAAAGUGAUAGAGGGUUAACUGUACAAGAGCUGGAAAGUACAAUAGUCUGCAAAUAUGCCCUCUAGCAGCCUGGCACUGUCUUUGCUGAUGUAUCACUGGAAAUAAAUGAUGAAAGAACAUGUCUGCAGAAUGCUAAUAAUUUUGGGAUUGCAGUGACAGGAGUUACCAUCCUUGACUGUGAGGUAUCGCUGAUGAUGACUAUAAAGUUAUUUCACCAGCCACUAGCUGAUGGAACCAGUCUAUAAAAACACAGGCUCAUACAACUACAAGGGACUUCCUGCAUCAGAAGACCAAUCUCCUGCUAUCAUUUUCAGCCAAUUCAUGUAAUCCCGUUCAUAAAUUGAAGGAGCGUCAUCUUAAAACUAUAAAUGGUUGGGUAGAGAUGGAGGGGAAAACAUUUUUCAAGCUCCUUUCAGAAUCUCACUCUUCUGGGGACUACAAAUCUUCAAAUCACCAGCCUAAAUGUAUUCCUGUCUGGUUUAUAUCCAUUUAUAAUGUGCUAUCAUUGUUUAGCUUAAAUAAUUCUUUUCCCUCCCUUGUGUUUGCCCUUCUAAUGUAUUUAUAGAGAGCAAUUACAGCCCCUAUUAGCAAUUGUUUUGCAAGGUUAAAACAAUUACGAACCUGAUAAUUUCCUUUUGAAUUCAUCCAUUUCUCAUCUCCCAGACUCUGAUUUUGGGUAGCCCAUGUUGCAUUUUUUUCUGUUUUCUAUUUACCAUCCUGCAUUUAUUCUUUUAGAAUGUGUUCUAAAGCCUUACAUUUUAUUGAGGGUGGAUUAAGAAGCUUGUAAUUGUCUAGAUCAGAGGUUCCCAAACUCUUUCUUAUUGCAUACCUGCUUGCAGAUUUACCAGCUACCACCUACCCUUACCAUCAUACGUUUUAUGUUUCAACCCCUUAAAUGCCUAUUAUUAUUAUUAUAAUAAAAAUUAUAUCUGCCCUUACACAAUUUCUCCCACAUAUGCCCCAGAGAUGUCUUGUGUACCCCCAGGGGUACGUGUACCACAGCUUGGGAACCCCUGGUCUAGAUAAUUUUUUUCCCCUUCUUAGAUAUGGAUAUUACCUUCCACUGUUCUCUAGUUGUACAGUCUUACCCAUGACUCAAUAUUUUUUUUUAAUCCUUGAUAACAGACCUGUGAUUUCAUAUGCCAGGGUUUUGUUUGUUUUUCAGUUUUCUGGGAUGGAAAAUUACCCAGACCUGUAGCUUGAGUACACUAAGCUUUUUUUAAGUUUGCCUCCAUCCCAUUCCAUAUGUAAUCACUUUCAUUCUUAUUUUCUUGUUCCCAUUAGCCGUCCUGCCUUUGCCCUCCUGCUCAACAGAGUUGUCUUUAUUGAAAUAUUAAUUUAAUGUUGGGGUUGUACCUAGGUCACUUUCAUCUCUACACCAUCCUCACUGCUUAGCAGCCCCAGUUCUUUUUUGUUCUCUUAUUUGUGUUGUUGAUGGCCCUUUUGCUAUUUUUAAUCUUUUUUACAAAGUAAAAAGCAUGCCUAAAGGGAAUGCGUACUUAAUCCCUACAAUUCCUGGCCUCUGAGAUGUACCUUUCCUUGUUGAUCAAUCCUUUUUUUCUCCUGAAGACACCUGAAGAUAUCUUGGAACUGCAUCCACAAAACAGAUGGCAAUAAUUUAAUUGUAUCAGUUUCUAAAUCAAUAUGCAAUAAUUAAAUCCAUGCAAAAAAUUUUAUAGAUAAGGAUAAGAUACCCCUAGGUACUGGGGAGAAACUUUGUCCCAUUCUGCUUUGGCCAACAGAGGUUAUUUGAGCACAUGGGGGAAUGCCAAACUGUUCUAAGCCUAAGGAAUAAUGCCAUACAUAUGCUCUCAGUGGGCACUGAGGAAAUCCUACACACAGUACCUCACUGUAUUUCUGUUGGCAUAACUUUGUGUAUAACGUGUACAAUCCUAAGUAGGUAUUUUGUUAAAUGUGUGAUGUGCUGGUUGAAAAAAUAUAACUUAUUUUCUGUGCACAAUUAAAUGCUUGAAAUGUUCUUGUCAGCCAUUUAGAUAGUUGAGGAGUGUGAGGAAGUCCUGUAAAAAUAGAGAGGUUUUGCUAUUUAAUCAAUGUCAUUUUUUAAUUGUGAUCAGUUCUAAUUUUAGAUAUAGAUAAAAUGCUGUUUUAAAUCAAAAUCCCAAUAAAUAUGUAAUGUAACGAUUUAUUCUUAAAAUAUUUCUAUCCUUAAGUAAAAAAAUGACAUAUAAUUAUCAUAAAUUGGCAAAUACUGGUAUUUGAUAUAUGCAGGACUGGCCUGACACUCAUGUUAGGAAUGGGAUAAGGAAAGAAGCGUGUCAGUAUUUAGCAUUGUAUGGCAGAUGGGAGCAGUCAGCAUCUUCACUUCCCACUCAAGCUAAAGCAAAAGGGCAUAUGGUAUGCUAGCAGGAAACUGGGA